UUAAACAUGGAACAGAGUUAUUAAAAAGGGGGGGGGAAGGACUCAAGGAGAGGAAAUGCAACUGUCAGAAAUCGGGACCGCCAGAUUUCCUGGUGAACCUGCCUCUGUCUGAGAGAGUGUCUCACCGAACGGUAGCUAAGAUCUCAGCAGAACCGCGCGGAAGUGAGGAGUCGCGGCCAAAGGCGCCCACUGGAGCCUCCUCUCCGGGCCGGACCCCAGCCCGAGCCGCGAAAGGAGCCCCCCGCCUGGAUCACAGCUGCUGCAGCUGCCGCUGAAAUUCGCUGUGGCCGCUGCCUCUUCCCGCUUUAAUCCCAGACCUCCAGUCAUUGGGCAGCUCCUCAGAGGCAAGAAGUCAACACCAUGGCAACCCGACAAGCCUAUCAAAUCACCGGCUGGCGUGACAGCAGCAACACUGCAGGCUGGAGUGGGCUGGGCAGAGGAGCCGAGUGGCCACUACGCUCAGGUUGCCAUGACAACGAAGAUCGGACAAAUACAGUUUGCUGGCACCUACAAUGGUGGAAACAGGAUGUCCGAGAGGUAUCAUCUGAUGGAAAUGUUGAUUCUUGACCUUCUCUCUGAUACUCUGUCUGCCAAGGCAAAAGGAAGCAAAUAAAUCUGUAGUGCUGACAUCUCCACACUGAACCAUUGCUCCUUAAAUGUAGUACCUCAGGAUGGAAAUAAGCAACAAAACGAUACCAUCGUUUUUAUGUGCCUCAUAUGCAAAACAAAAUUCAUUCAUCUGUGUGGUCUACUGAUGGGAAAUAAAAUCAGAUAUUUCACUUCCAACAAGCAAAAGAAAAAUCGAUUGUGAUUCCAAGAAGACAUGAACUCAACUGAAAAUCACACGGAAUGAAAAAUAACCAUGGAGGGACAACCAUUUUGCUCUGGAAGAGAAACCUUACAGUAAACUUUCCUGAAAUUAUUUUGAGCACAUGGUCUUAGGUUUUUAGUCUUUGAACUUUUCCUGUGACACAGGAACAAACUCAACAAUCCAAAACUGCAGAAGUCAGACAGCGAGAAACUCUGAUAAAAGUGGCCAUCUUUGACAGCUGACAAACAUGAGUAUGAUGAAGCGUGGCAAAUAUGGAUGUGUUUCGUGAAUAUGUGUAUGUCUUUUGAGAGGACCUGACCAAUGAGAUGUAUGGUAGAUCACUGAUAAAUCUCUCUCUUUAUUUUUAACUUCGAAAAGAGGAAGGAAAUAUCGAGAGUUGAGAAGAGAAAUACUAUCAAUUAGCUGCAUUCUUAGUUGUUAAAAAUUACACCAAGUCCUUUUGAGGAAGCUCCCUAUCUGAAAUUGUCUCCUUGCUUUACCUCUUUCCUUCUUUACCUUAUCCCUUCAUUUGGAAUGUCAGAUCCAAAAUGGCAAGGAUCUUGUAUGUUUUGUUUAUCACUUUAACCCAUUUCCAAUGUUGUGUAGGUGCCCAGUAAAAACUUGCUCAGUGAAUGAAUGCAAGAGAUUUCGAUUUUAAUCUAAGUAGCUGGAAGACCUUAGGAUAAUCACUUGACUUCUUGGAGGCUCAAUUUCUUUAUUUUUAAAAUAGUGGCAUAGGGGGUGCCUGGCUGGCUCAGUGGGUAGAACAUGCAACUCUUGAUCUUGAGGUUGUGAGUUCAAGCCCUAUGUUGGGUGUAGAGCUUAUUUAAAUAAGAUAGAAAAUGAUAGCAUAGACUAGAUGGCUAAUGUUACUUGCAGCACUAAUAUUCAUUGAUGGUAUGCAUGAUUCAGAUGUUCACAUGAUAACCAACUAAUGUUUUUUUUUCACAGGAAACUUCACUUAUGUACAGAGUUUAUUGACCAAUCUU